GAAACAAAUCACAAAAGAGAUCUUUACUUAAAUGAUUGAUCUUGCUAACGAGUACUGCUGUUGUGCCAUGAAACCUUCAUGAACCCCAAAAAGACCACCAAGGAGCCCCAUCCAAUGCAGUCACAUUAGGGUCUCAUGGGCUCCCUGCCAACCCUGACACAGCAGAAACACGGUGCCCUGAGUUCAGUUUCAGGCAAGCAUUUAUAGAGGCAAGAAGAAGGUAUCUAGCCUGGUGCACACCUGAUUGGGGAUUCAUUAUGGCCUUUAAUAUAAAUUUAAGCCAAACCAUAAACUUAACUCCUGCUUUCCUCCUUAUGUUGGUUGUUAGGAAGGGAAGUGUCAGGGUCAGGCUUGUAACCUGGAGGUGCAGAUCUGGUGCCAGAAGCAGGUUUUGUUGGGGGGUAACCUGGAAACUGGUAGGCACAGGUCUUGUUGGGGUGUAGCCUGGAAACUGAUGCUAGCUAUUGGCCUGUUAGCUAACUUUAAGUUCCACCUUAGGUCAGGUUCUCUAAGAGGAGACGGAGUCUGAACCCAAAAGGUUUGGUCUCUCAUUGCAACCUAAAUUUUAUUUUAUAACUAUGAAGGUAAAGAUUCUGUUACUUACAGUAUUCAUUGCUAUCCAGGGUAUAUCUCUAUUCCAAUAUUACUGAAAUACUGAUGCAUUGAUUAUUUCAGUAAUAUUGUAGGAUGUUAGAACUUUACAUUGGGUAUAAUUAUUUAGAUUUUGGAAGAUUUUAAUAAGGAUAUGCUUGUUAACAUAUCAACUCCACUUCUAAAAGCCACCCGAAGAGAGGGAGGAAACAAGAGGAGGUAUGAGGGAGGAAAUGGGGUACAUUACAGCAUUGCCAAACAGUUCUGCAUGAACUUGGUUUAUAACUUCAAGAGGUUGAAAACAGAAAUUAAUCAGGAUAUAUAUAUGUGUGUGUGUGUGUUGUGUGUGUGUGUUUAAAUGGUAUACACUUGAAAUGUGUAAUUGUUGAUGUCAAUAUGUUAACAACAUCAAUGGUUAAAUAAGAGCCGUAAGUUACAGAACUGUAUAUAUGAUGUUACUGCUCUUUUUUUUUCUUUUUUUUAGAUUUGUUUAUUUUAUGUGAGUACACUGUAGCCAUCUUCAGACACACCAGAAGAGGGCAUCAGAUCCUAUUAGAGAUGGUUAUGAGCCACCAUGUGGUUGCUGGGAAUUGAACUCAGGACCUCUGGAAGAGCAGCCGGUGCUCUUAACCACUGAGCCAUUUCUCCAGCCCGUUACUGCUCUUUUAAGAGGCCAUGCUCUUUAUAUGAGCACAUAAAUGUACGCGUUCAUGCUCACGAGUGUAAAGAAGUCAAUUUGUCAGGAGCUGCAUGACUGACUAGGAGAAAUAAAUAAUUUUUAGUCUUUGGGCUUUUCUGUAUCUUGCUAUUUGGGAAAUGGAGUUGGGCUGCAAGGCAAAUGAAUUUCGCCUGUCAUGUACACAAGACAGUUUGUCAAUACAGGAAAAUAGUCAAGUCCUGGAGAUACUGAUGCUUCAUAUAAAAAUAUUUUCAAUUAUUAUAAACGGCUAAAGGUAGCACUCGUUCAAACGCGGUCUUCACACAUCUCCACACAAUCCUACCCGCCUAACUUCCACCCACAGAGUUUUUCAUUAAUGCAUUCAUUCAUUAUCUCAGCCAUCACAUGUGCACCCACGUUCGUAAAGGCACAUAAAGGAUAACGAGCAAAUUAUAGUCACAUCACGGCUGCUGCAAACCGCAGGCAUCCCGUCCUCUACCCACACCCGCGACCGCUCUACAGGGCCCUGGCUUCCACCCAGCACAAAGAGUCCUGGCCUCCAGCUCACGGCUUCCGGGACUCAACGCUGAGCCGGGCCACGGGUCUCGAUCCCCCAACCCGACGCCGCCCAAGGCUCACAGCCUCCGGGCUACGGCCUGGUGCUGCUAGGCUGGGAAAGAAGACCCACAAACCUGGGUCCGCUAGGCGCAGGGUAGCACUUCCCAGAGGGCCGCGCGGCUCGCCGGGCGGGUCUGGCCUUCGGCGUGCGAGUCAGGAGAGUGGCCAAGGCUCGGCUAGCCCAGAUCGCCAUUUCUUAGGAGGAGCUGAGAGGAAGAGUGGCUGUCGGACUUCUUAAAGCCGUGCACCAGGAGCUGGUGACCUUCAGAGAUGUGGCAGUAGACUUCCCCCAAGAGGAAUGGGGUUGCCUGAAUUCUUCUCAAAGGCAUUUGUACAGUUGUGUGAUGUUGGAGAACUAUAGAAUCCUGGUGUCUCUGGGCCUUUGCUUUUCUAAGCCAAGUGUAAUAUUCCUGUUGGAACAAGGGAAAGACCCAUGGACCGUGAAGACAGAGCUGACAGACAGUUUCUCCACAGGUGAGUGGAGAGUAAAUAGAUAGCAACCUCUGAGGUGACUGCUCAACCUGACUCAAGAGAAUGUCUCUUUGUUCUUUUUUGUGGCGUGUUCCCAAAUGUCUUGGGCCUGAAAGAAGCUGGGGCCUCCCAGGCCACCAUCCUCAUGGGCACCUGACCUCUCUCCUCAUGCUUUGAUCCUUCUUUCCAGUAACUCCUUCCUUCCCUUUCUUUCUUCCUUUCUUUCUUUCUUUCUUUCUUUCUUUCUUUCUUUCUUUCUUUCUUUCUUUCUUUCUUUUCUUAAGAUUUAUUUAAUAUAUGUGAGUACACUGUCAGUUUAGACACACCAGAAGAGGGCAUCAGAUCCCAUUAUAGAUGGUUGUGAGCCACCAUGUGGCUGCUGGGAAUUGAACUCAGGACCUCUGGAAGAGCAGUCAGUGGUCCUAACUGCUGAGCCAUCUCUCCAGCCCCCAGUAACUCCUUUCAUCCGUUGUCUGACUCCUGCUGCUUCUCAGGUCUGUAAUUCCCUACAAAUAGCCUUUUGCUGAUUUGAUGAACUCUAGGCCUACACUGAGAGUCAAAUCCUGAUUCUUACAUGUAGUAAAACUCUAGAAAAGUUGCUUAACCUCUCUUUUUGUCAUACCUAGAAGAAUUCUCUUGAAGUACCUUGAACCUUGUUAGUGUGAACUCAGUGGCCAUUCGGUGUUGGUGUAUCUACAAGAGCAUUAUCUUUCUCUGUCAGUCAGUCCACAGGUUCUCCAGAGCAGGAGUGAGGAUUAAAAGGAAAAAGACAAUUAGACAACACUGUAGCAUGAUCCCAGCCAGUUCCAAGGCUGAGGCGGGUUUAUUUACUUUUUUCUUGGUGUUUUUGAGACAGGGUUUCUCUGUGUAGUCCUGGCUGUCUUGGAACUCACU